rnacentral:lncRNA from 1 species
GAACGAAGGCAAAUGGGAAGAGUAACUAGUGAUGACUUCAGGGGACAGCACCAUACCGGACUUUGUCCUACCUUUGAGAUGAGGUCCUACUCUAUAGUCCUGGCUGGCCCAGAACAUGUGAGGCUCCUCUUGAUUCUGCCUCCAGGGGUUCUGUCCCUCUCAGAGGAAUCAUUGGAUUCAGCCUGAACGGAGAGGACACUCCAACGGUGUCACACAUGGAUGGGACAGCCCAGCCCUGGUUGGCCUGUGACAGUUUCCUUGGGGGCUGGAGGACUCACAUCUGGGAAGGGCAGAGUCCCCAAGGGCAGAGCUGAGAAAUGGACCUGUUUCCUGCCACCCAAUUUCCACUCGGCAGUGUGAUUUCUCUUUGUGUUUUCCAUAGUCUACCAUUUACACUGCUGCCACACCAUCCACAUUUUGGUAAACGUUUCUCGUG